GAAUCAUAAGGAUGUUCGUUUUUAAAAAUCAAUUUGUGUAAAAUAAAAUUUAAUUAUUCGUUGAUGAAACAACUAACGAUUAUUUAUACUUUAAUCGUUAAUUUUCAUUAUAAUGUCAUAAUCCAGAUUUUUUCAAUGGAAGUGAUUGAAUAUACACGUAUUUAUAUACUUACAUGAACAUAUAAAUGCCCAAAGAAAAAUUAUAUUUAUUUGAUUGCAAAAUUGUACAAGAAACAUGCUAUAACCCAGAUAUAGAUAUGAAAGGAGUUAUAGGGCCUUCUCUUAAAAAAUUAAAGAAACUUCAUAUCUUGGCUGGAAGAAGAGUAUAACCAGAAAAUGACUAAUGAUAAAAAUAACAACAUCCACUUAUCCACUAUUAUAUAACUACCAAAGUACUGAUCUAAAAUAUGAUAUCCUCCAGUUAUUUUCUUAAUUAGAUUGUUAUCACUUAAAUAAACUAGUUAAUUAGAUAUGUUACUAUUUGAAAUUAUAAAGUUGA